GUCCUAGCCGUAAACGGUGCUUGCUUGCUGUAAAAGGAAUCGACCCCUUUUGUGGCGAAGCCAACGCGAUAAGCAAGCCGCCUGGGAAGUACGGUCGCAAGAUUAAAACUCAAAGAAAUUGACGGGGGCCGUGCACAAGCGGUGGAGUAUGUUGCUUAAUUCGAUGCAACGCGAAGAACCUUACCUGGCCUUGACAUGCAUCUAGUAGAAGGGUGAAAGCCUGACGAGGUAGCAAUACCAGGAUGCACAGGUGCUGCAUGGCUGUCGU
rnacentral:rRNA from 1 species